rnacentral:rRNA from 1 species
GGUUCAGAACGAACGCUGGCGGCAAGCUUAACACAUGCAAGUCGAACGGACCAUACGCGCAGCUUGCUGCGUGUAUGGUUAGUGGCAGACGGGUGAGUAAUGCAUAGGAAUCUACCUAGUAGUAUAGGAUAGCCACUAGAAAUGGUGGGUAAUACUGUAUAAUCCCUGCGGGGGAAAGAUUUAUCGCUAUUAGAUGAGCCUAUGUCAGAUUAGCUAGUUGGUGGGGUAAUGGCCUACCAAGGCGGUGAUCUGUAGCUGGUCUGAGAGGAUGAUCAGCCACACUGGAACUGAGACACGGUCCAGACUCCUACGGGAGGCAGCAGUGGGGAAUAUUGGACAAUGGGCGCAAGCCUGAUCCAGCUAUGCCGCGUGAGUGAGGAAGGCCUUAGGGUUGUAAAACUCUUUCAGUAGGGAAGAUAAUGACGGUACCUACAGAAGAAGUCCCGGCAAACUC